rnacentral:rRNA from 1 species
UACGAGGGGGGCGAGCGUUGCUCGGAAUUACUGGGCGUAAAGGGCGCGUAGGCGGACAGUUUAGUCAGAGGUGAAAGCCCAGGGCUCAACCUUGGAAUUGCCUUUGAUACUGGCUGUCUUGAGUUCGGGAGAGGUGAGUGGAAUGCCGAGUGUAGAGGUGAAAUUCGUAGAUAUUCGGCGGAACACCAGUGGCGAAGGCGACUCACUGGCCCGAUACUGACGCUGAGGCGCGAAAGCGUGGGGAGCAAACAGG